rnacentral:rRNA from 1 species
CGAAGUCAACGCGGGGAACUGAAACAUCUAAGUACCCGUAGGAAAGGAAAUCAACUGAGACUCCGUGAGUAGUGGCGAGCGAAAGCGGACUAGCCCAAACCGUUGGGGUAACUCAACGGGGUUGUGGGGCUCCGACAUGGGAUCUGGAGGACUAGCAGAACGGCUUGGGAAGGCCGGCCAGAGCGGGUGACAGCCCCGUAUGCGAAAGUCCGAGAGACCCUAGGAGAACCCCGAGUAGGGCGGGGCACGUGGAACCCUGUCCGAAGCUGGGAGGACCAUCUUCCAAGGCUAAGUACUCCCUGGUGACCGAUAGUGAACGAGUACCGUGAGGGAAAGGUGAAAAGAACCCCUGCGAGGGGAGUGAAAAGAACCUGAAACCGUGUGUCUACAAGCAGUGGGAGC